UCGUCAAGUUGGAAGAGCUUAUAGUUGAAGAUUGCUUCAAAGUCAGGAGCCUGGUAAGUCAGGAAUUGUCAGACUUCAAAUCCUCUGGUAAUGUUCUCCAAAACUUGAAGAAGAUGUCACUUCUUGACUUACCUGAAUUGGUUACUAUUUCUGGUGGCCUAAGUAUUGGUCCAGUAUUAGAAAGUCUGAUUGUUUAUAACUGUCCAAAGCUCAAAAGUCUGCAUGCCAUGGAAGUGUCUGGUGAUAAUUUGAAGAUCAAAGGGGAGAAAGAGUGGUGGGAUGCAAUAAAGUGGAGGAACAAAACUUUUCCAGCUUAUAAGGAAUUUGAAAUUGAUGAAGAUUCGAUGGGCCCAUUAGCUAAAGAUAUAUAUUCACACUAACCUGGAGCAAAUGGUUUUCAACAGUCAGGUUAUGAAAGCCUCAUGAAGGCCCCUGUGGCAGGAGAUUGGGACAAUCGAUCCAAUGGUGUUUAGGAGCUCAAGCUUAGGAACUUGUAGAUGUAAUUACCAAUAUAUCUUCAGAGAAAACUGAUCAGAUUAAAACUCCAUAGCUUGUAGGCUAGUUUCUUUGCAUUAUUGCUGCUUGCCUUAAUGUUUUCAAAUACAAUAUUGGGAUGCGAUGCUUUAUCUACUUUUUAUCUCCUUGUGUGGAUGUGACAGUAACAGUAAUUAUUGUAAGUGUUGUAUCUGAUGUUCUUGUAUUUCUUGUUAUUUGAAAUCUAUCAAUAUUUUUGUUUAAUUUGUUUUGGCAAG